GCACUGGGGAGUACGGCCGCAAGGUUAGAAACUCAACAGGAAUUGCGACGGGGACCCGCACAAGCGGUGGAUGAUGUGGUCUUNAUUUCGAUGCNACGCGAAAAACCUUACCUACCUUUGACAUGUACGGAAUUCGCCAGAGAUGGCUUAGAUGCUCGAAAGAGAACCGUAACNCAGGUGCUGCAUGGCAUGUCGUCAGCAUCGUGUCAGUGAGAUGUUGGGUUAAGUCCCGCAACGAGCGCAACCCUUGUCAUUAGUUGCUACAUUUAGUUGGGCACUCUAAUGGGACUGCCGGUGACAAAACCGGAGGAAGGUGGGGAUGACAGUCAAGUCCUCAUGGCCCUUGAUAAGGUAGGGCUACACACGUCAUACAAUGNNUGGAUACAGAAGGGUUCGCCCAAACCCGCCGAGGGGGGANGACAUANNCGCCAUUAAAACCAGUCGUAGUCCCGGGAUCGCUAGGAUUCUGGCAAACCUGCGACUACCGUGNANUACGNAAUCGA
rnacentral:rRNA from 1 species